GAAUCACGGGUGUGACGGGUUGCCGGAGGAGAGUUUUGUUUUUAGUACUUUUUAUGCAGAAGUAACCUGUUUUAUUUUAAAUCAAGUAUUUAAGAGUCAUACUGUGGAACAUUUUUUAACAGUGGAAACCCUUUUUUGCUGGCAUAACAGCUUCUACUCUGUGGGCGUUCCCUCUAUUCUCUUCUCCACUGCUGUCAGUUGUCCCUUUCACCUCCAGUCUUCAUCAUAUCAGCGACCAGUCCUGCUCCACAUUCCAUCAUCCAGGGCUUCACCAACUCUCUUCACCCCCACCACCACCACCUGUGUCUAGACCCCAGGGGGAAAUAUCCUGAACUAAUCACAGCAUCACUACCCCCCUAAAUAUAUCAAGUCACGAUGGGGUCUAAUCGCCAUAAGACUCUUCUCUAAUACUUUUUGU